AUUGAACGCUGGCGGAAUGCUUUACACAUGCAAGUCGAGCGGCAGCGCGGGGCAACCUGGCGGCGAGCGGCGAACGGGUGAGUAAUGUAUCGGAACGUGUCCUUGAGUGGGGGAUAGCCCGGUGAAAACCGGAUUAAUACCGCAUGAGCUCGGGAGAGGAAAGCGGGGGAACGCAAGACCUCGCGCUGAAGGAGCGGCCGAUAUCCGAUUAGCUAGAUGGUGAGGUAAAGGCUUACCAUGGCUUUGAUCGGUAGCUGGUCUGAGAGGAUGAUCAGCCACACUGGGACUGAGACACGGCCCAGACUCCUACGGGAGGCAGCAGUGGGGAAUUUUGGACAAUGGGGGCAACCCUGAUCCAGCCAUUCCGCGUGAGUGAAGAAGGCCUUCGGGUUGUAAAGCUCUUUUGUCGGGGACGAAACGGUUACGGUAAAUACCUGUGACUACUGACGGUACCCGAAGAAUAAGCACCGGCUAACUACGUGCCAGCCGCCGCCGUAACAC
rnacentral:rRNA from 1 species